CUGUGUGUUGUUGGGUAGGGGAGCGUUCUGUAAGCCUGCGAAGGUGUCCCGUGAGGGAUGCUGGAGGUAUCAGAAGUGCGAAUGCUGACAUAAGUAACGAUAAAGCGGGUGAAAAGCCCGCUCGCCGGAAGACCAAGGGUUCCUGUCCAACGUUAAUCGGGGCAGGGUGAGUCGACCCCUAAGGCGAGGCCGAAAGGCGUAGUCGAUGGGAAACGGGUUAAUAUUCCCGUACUUGGUGUUACUGCGAAGGGGGGACGGAGAAGGCUAUGUUGGCCGGGCGACGGUUGUCCCGGUUUAAGCGUGUAGGUGUGUGUUCCAGGUAAAUCCGGUUCACUUUAACACUGAGGCGUGACGACGAGGCACUACGGUGCUGAAGCAACAAAUGCCCUGCUUCCAGGAAAAGCCUCUAAGCAUCAGGUAACAUCAAAUCGUACCCCAAACCGACACAGGUGGUCAGGUAGAGAAUACCAAGGCGCUUGAGAGAACUCGGGUGAAGGAACUAGGCAAAAUGGUGCCGUAACUUCGGGAGAAGGCACGCUGACACGUAGGUGAAGUGAUUUACUCAUGGAGCUGAAGUCAGUCGAAGAUACCAGCUGGCUGCAACUGUUUAUUAAAAACACAGCACUGUGCAAACACGAAAGUGGACGUAUACGGUGUGACGCCUGCCCGGUGCCGGAAGGUUAAUUGAUGGGGUCAGCGCAAGCGAAGCUCCUGAUCGAAGCCCCGGUAAACGGCGGCCGUAACUAUAACGGUCCUAAGGUAGCGAAAUUCCUUGUCGGGUAAGUUCCGACCUGCACGAAUGGCGUAAUGAUGGCCAGGCUGUCUCCACCCGAGACUCAGUGAAAUUGAACUCGCUGUGAAGAUGCAGUGUACCCGCGGCAAGACGGAAAGACCCCGUGAACCUUUACUAUAGCUUGACACUGAACAUUGAGCCUUGAUGUGUAGGAUAGGUGGGAGGCUUUGAAGUGUGGACGCCAGUCUGCAUGGAGCCGACCUUGAAAUACCACCCUUUAAUGUUUGAUGUUCUAACGUGGACCCGUAAUCCGGGUUGCGGACAGUGUCUGGUGGGUAGUUUGACUGGGGCGGUCUCCUCCUAAAGAGUAACGGAGGAGCACGAAGGUUGGCUAAUCCUGGUCGGACAUCAGGAGGUUAGUGCAAUGGCAUAAGCCAGCUUGACUGCGAGCGUGACGGCGCGAGCAGGUGCGAAAGCAGGUCAUAGUGAUCCGGUGGUUCUGAAUGGAAGGGCCAUCGCUCAACGGAUAAAAGGUACUCCGGGGAUAACAGGCUGAUACCGCCCAAGAGUUCAUAUCGACGGCGGUGUUUGGCACCUCGAUGUCGGCUCAUCACAUCCUGGGGCUGAAGUAGGUCCCAAGGGUAUGGCUGUUCGCCAUUUAAAGUGGUACGCGAGCUGGGUUUAGAACGUCGUGAGACAGUUCGGUCCCUAUCUGCCGUGGGCGCUGGAGAACUGAGGGGGGCUGCUCCUAGUACGAGAGGACCGGAGUGGACGCAUCACUGGUGUUCGGGUUGUCAUGCCAAUGGCACUGCCCGGUAGCUAAAUGCGGAAGAGAUAAGUGCUGAAAGCAUCUAAGCACGAAACUUGCCCCGAGAUGAGUUCUCCCUGAGACUUAGAGUCUCCUGAAGGAACGUUGAAGACGACGACGUUGAUAGGCCGGGUGUGUAAGCGCAGCGAUGCGUUGAGCUAACCGGUACUAAUGAACCGUGAGG
rnacentral:rRNA from 1 species